rnacentral:tRNA from 2 species
GCGGGUAUAGUUUAGUGGU